AGUGAACGCUGGCGGCGUGCUUAACACAUGCAAGUCGAACGAGAACGGGAUAUAGCUUGCUAUAUUUGUCAGCUAAGUGGCGCACGGGUGAGUAAUGUAUAGAUAACCUGCCCUCUAGAAAGGAAUAACAGUUGGAAACGACUGCUAAUGCCCUAUAUGCCUUUAAUACAUAAGUAUGCAAGGGAAACGCUUUAGUGCUAGAGGAUGGGUCUGUAUGGUAUCAGCUUGUUGGUGAGGUAAUGGCUCACCAAGGCUAUGACGCCUAACUGGUUUGAGAAGAUGUUCAGUCACACUGGAACUGAGACACGGUCCAGUCUCCUACGUGAGGCAACAGUGGGGAAUAUUGCACAAUGGACGAAAGUCGGAUGCAGCAACGCCACGUGGAGGAUGACACAUUUCGGUGCGUAAACUCCUUUUAUAUAGGAAGAUAAUUACGGUACUAUAUGAAUAAGCACCGGCUAACUCCGUGCCAGCCGCCGCCGUAA
rnacentral:rRNA from 1 species